rnacentral:rRNA from 1 species
GACGAACGCUGGCGGCGUGCCUAAUACAUGCAAGUCGAACGCAGUGGGGACGGGUGAGUAACACGUGGGUAACCUCCCCAUCAGAGGGGAUAACACUUGGAAACAGGUGCUAAACCGAUACUGAUGGAUGGACCCGCGGUGCAUUAGCUAGUUGGUGAGGUAACGGCUCACCAAGGCCACGAUGCAUAGCAUACCUGAGAGGGUGUGCGCACACACUGGGACUGAGACCCGGCCCAGACGCCGACGGGAGGAAGCAGUAGGGAGUCUUCGGCAAUGGACGAAAGUCUGACCGAUCGACGCCGCGUGAGUGAAGAAGGUUUUCGGAUCGUAAAACUCUGUUGUUAGAGAAGCUGUAUCUAACCAGAAAGCUACGGCUAACGACGAGCCAGCCGCCGCGGGAAGAC